UCUUUGAUGGUCUAACGGUCAUGAUUUCCGCUUGUCAUUCGUAUGGCAAUGCGCGGGAGAUCGGGGUUCGACUCCCCGUCAGAGAG